rnacentral:rRNA from 1 species
AUGCCUAACCCUGCAAGUCGAGCGGUAACAGAAAGUAGCUUGCUACUUUGCUGACGAGCGGCGGACGGGUGAGUAAUGCUUGGGAACAUGCCUUGAGGUGGGGGACAACAGUUGGAAACGACUGCUAAUACCGCAUAAUGUCUACGGACCAAAGGGGGCUUCGGCUCUCGCCUUUAGAUUGGCCCAAGUGGGAUUAGCUAGUUGGUGAGGUAAUGGCUCACCAAGGCAACGAUCCCUAGCUGGUUUGAGAGGAUGAUCAGCCACACUGGAACUGAGACACGGUCCAGACUCCUACGGGAGGCAGCAGUGGGGAAUAUUGCACAAUGGGCGCAAGCCUGAUGCAGCCAUGCCGCGUGUGUGAAGAAGGCCUUCGGGUUGUAAAGCACUUUCAGUCAGGAGGAAAGGUUAGUAGUUAAUACCUGCUAGCUGUGACGUUACUGACAGAAGAAGCACCGGCUAACUCCGUGCCAGCAGCCGUNNAU